CGGGGUAUAGCAUAUAUAAUGCUUUUUACUUACACUAAAAAUAAAGUUAAACUACUUGCUCCGC
rnacentral:tRNA from 1 species